AAAGUGGCGUUGAUCAAGUCAGUAGCGCUAGUGGGAUUGCUUAGAGAGCCGGGAUUGCUGGGAACCGGUCAAACCACUGGGGUGAAUGUAGCUUGGGAGCCGAAGGACUGAAUUUGAGUAAGUCCUGUCCGGAGCACACUCCGUUAACAAAGAAGUUAAGUGGGGCUUGAACGCCCAAUUUAGGUGGUACCGCGAAGAGACUUCGUCCUAAUG
rnacentral:ncRNA from 1 species